rnacentral:lncRNA from 1 species
AGUCCAGAGCAGGGAGACGGGCCUGAGCCUCCAUGACCCUCACUUUCAGCAGUUCCCUUCCUCCCCGUGUAGUAACCGUAUCACGCAGCCCCCGAACAAAAGCUUCGUCUACAGGGUCAUGGUUACAGACAGCUGUAACCAUUUUAAGCUGCAAACCAGCUGAAUGGCAGAUUCCGCUGAAGGGAAGGUGGGGGACACUGGCAGAGAGAACUUCACGAUUGCACUGUUGGUGUCUUCCGUGUGCCCCCUCCCCUUGCCGCCGUGUCCCACGGAUCUUCUCCCGCGGCAGCAAGCCCUCUCUGCACUGCUUGGCAGUGUCUGCUUUAAGAGAGGAGCGGCCCUGCAGGGAGAGGGAGGGGACAGUCCGUCCACUGCUGCCUGGGAGCUUGAAUGGUAACAGCACCACUCCUCACUCUAGGAGAGUCAGGGAGGGAGCAGAUCCGAUGUCCUUUUUGUCCCCAGAGGCUUCUCCCAGAAGCAGCCUGUGAUCUAGUCAUUGUUGGAGACAAAUUAGACUCUUCAGACAGAAUACUCUCCAGGCAGCUGCAAAACCACCUCUAACUUUGGAAGAGAUUCACAUCCCAAUAUUGCCAACCACAGAGCUUGCUACCUCCGAUCCACCCACCACCUCAACCUGAGUCCACCUCCCGAGUGGAGAAGAAAACUCCCCGCAGAAAUCCUGCUAUUUCCUGCGGUGUUUAUGUUUGGCCAGAGACUUAUGUCUAUUUGUGCUUCUCUCUCUCCUCGAAGGAAGGAGACACAUCUUUCUCAUUUUCAUAUUUUCUCCUCUCUGGCCUCUCUUCCAACACUAAAGCAACUACCUCAGUUAGGUAGUGAAUCAGUCCACUGAGUGAGUGGAGGCUUUAAAGAAAUUAUUUAACAAUUCCGCA